rnacentral:lncRNA from 10 species
CUGGUAGUGGGCGGGGCCCUAGAACUCCCAAGAUUCUAUACCUUUUGUCUUCCGCUGCCGCGUGGAUAGGGAAGGACCAUCAGGUUGGGGCAGGGCGAGGCGUGUCUGAGCUCAGACUUUACUUGGGCGGGUCUUGCUGCAGCUGCUGUGGAGAAUGGGGGUCACAUGGAAUCUACACAUGGAAGGACAUAGGCAUUGCAUGCAGGUAUCCGGAAUCAUUGAUAUUGGUCUUAAAAUUUGGAAGUUUCCACUUUUGCUAAGCCAUGUGAGGACACAACAAGAAGGCAUCACCAAUGAAGAAUAGGCCUUCAUCAGACAUCCAAUCUGCAGGCCUCUUGAUCUUGGACUUCCUAAUCUACAGAAUUGGUAUUGAAGUGAGUUCUCCAGUGGAAGACAACUGGAAAAUGAGUGUCCUUGUCUACAGACUUAAGAUCUUAAUAAAAGUAAUCAUAAAAUUGACCUUGGUGGGGAGACACUGAAACAGGAUUACAUGGCCUGAGUCAAGUCCUUACAAACAAGAAAGACACAGAG